rnacentral:lncRNA from 1 species
GGAAUCAGAGUUCCCUGACCAAGGAUUGAACCCAUGCCCCCUGCAUUGGAAACACAGUUAUAACCACUGGACAGCUAGGGAGUUUUAAAUAAAUGUACAGCAUAUAAUAUCUCCUGUGAAAGGACCCAGAGAAGAAGAAACUAAGAAAAAACUUUGCUGGCAGGGAGGACAAGCACAGGAAAGUGUGCCUUCCGCAAGUAGAAAGCCUGGGGCCAUCCUGUUCAACCUGGUGCUGCUGGGACCAGAGGAAGGGAGACGCUAAGGGCCAUCUCACCGCUCUGACUUGUGAAGUCCACGGAUCCAGGAAGGUAAUACAGAGUGCUUCUGGUCCUACCUCCACAUGACAAUCGAGAGAAAAGCAGAAAUGACAUUUCACUUUCGUGCGGCUCACAGGACUAGCAGGAAAAGCCUUUGGAGAAGGCACAAGACACUCUGAGGAAACCACAUUAAUCAUCAACCCAGGAAACUGGAACACUCCACAAAGCCAUUGCUAUAAAUUCAAUAUUUACACAAAAUCUGGAGGUUGAAGUUCUUGUUACUCAGGGAAGGAAAACAUGAAAAGCUGCCAGAAAGAGAGCCCACUUGCUAUCUAGACUCCCCAAAUCAUCCUCAAGGGCAACAUUCUCAGAUUACAGAGCAGGCAACAGUUGCCAAUAGAUAGCAUGCCUUGACUAAUAACAUGUUCAUAUACUUUGUUCUUCCUAAUGACUGUGCCCAUUUUGAGUGGAGGAAACUUUAACCCCAAGGGCACAGUGACUUGUCCAAUGUCACACAACCAGUAAACGCCCAAGCUGAUAGUCAAACUCAGUCUGCCCGCUACUCAACCUCACAGACCACACCAGACAGAGAGACAGAGAGAAAAUUACCUGUAUUGUGUCUAAAGAAGCAUACCUAUGCAAAGUUCAUUUGGUCUGCUCUUUGGAAAGAUGAAAACCCAUGGUGUUGAAGGAACCUGCAUACACUCAACAGGGUUUAGGGUGAAGUCACUGGGACCCUGUCUAUAAUUUCUAAAAAAAAAAAAGCAUCUGUGAGCUGCCUUCAGGAACCUUACUAUGGCCUGCUUUGGCUGGAGCCCAGCUCAGAGUUCUUGGACUAGAAUUUCAAGGUAGGGCCCUGGAACAUGAAUUCCUAACAAGCCUCUCCAGUAGAUCUUAUACAAAGUGAAGAACAAGAGCCACCGGGGUUUACAUUCCUGACCAAACAACACCGAAAGAGUGAAACCAGACCUUGUCCCCAAGACUGAGGUCAGAUGGAACAGGGUGCGUUGUCCUGCCAUCAGUCCCAGGUCCAGAUGGGCCCUUCUGGCCCCUGCUCGUUGCUCAGCUCAAUUUAGCUUACACGACUGAAGCGACUUAGCAGCAGCAGCAGCAGCAGCAGCAGUCCUCCUGAAGGACAUCCCUCUGCUGUUUUAGUUUCUAAGAUUUGUCCUAUAAGCAAUCCUUCUCUCCUAAUGAGGUUAUUGGUGCCAUAUUACCACCAGGAAGGUGGCCCUGGUGUGCAGCUCAAUUAAGAAAGGUGUAUUAAAUUCUUUAUAUUUCUUCAUUUAGCUGCAGCACUCAUUCUAGAUUUGCUAAAUAAUAAAAUGUUGUUAAUGAGCUAGAGUAUGAGGCUC